rnacentral:rRNA from 1 species
AACGAACGCGGCGGCAUGCCUUACACAUGCAAGUCGGACGGCAGCGCGGGAGCAAUCCUGGCGGCGAGUGGCGAACGGGUGAGUAAUACAUCGGAACAUGUCCAGUAGUGGGGGAUAGCCCGGCGAAAGCCGGAUUAAUACCGCAUACGAUCUAUGGAUGAAAGCGGGGGAUCGCAAGACCUCGCGCUAUUGGGGUGGCCGAUGGCGGAUUAGCUAGUUGGUGGGGUAAAGGCCUACCAAGGCGACGAUCCGUAGCUGGUCUGAGAGGACGACCAGCCACACUGGGACUGAGACACGGCCCAGACUCCUACGGGAGGCAGCAGUGGGGAAUUUUGGACAAUGGGGGCAAGCCUGAUCCAGCAAUGCCGCGUGUGUGAAGAAGGCCUUCGGGUUGUAAAGCACUUUUGUCCGGGAAGAAAUCCCCUGCCCUAAUACGGCGGGGGGAUGACGGUACCGGAAGAAUAAGCACCGGCUAACUACGUGCCA